rnacentral:rRNA from 1 species
UACGGAGGGUGCAAGCGUUAUCCGGAUUCACUGGGUUUAAAGGGUGCGUAGGAGGGCAGGUAAGUCAGGGGUGAAAUCCCCGAGCUUAACUUGGGAACUGCCGUUGAUACUAUCUGUCUUGAAUACCGUGGAGGUGAGCGGAAUAUGUCAUGUAGCGGUGAAAUGCUUAGAUAUGACAUAGAACACCAAUUGCGAAGGCAGCUCGCUACACGAAUAUUGACUCUGAGGCACGAAAGCGUGGGGAUCAAACAGG